GACGAACGCUGGCGGCGUGCUUAACACAUGCAAGUCGAACGGAAAGGCCCUGCUUUUGUGGGGUGCUCGAGUGGCGAACGGGUGAGUAACACGUGAGUACCUGCCCUUGACUUUGGGAUAACUUCAGGAAACUGGGGCUAAUACCGGAUAGGAGCUCCUGCUGCAUGGUGGGGGUUGGAAAGUUUCGGCGGUUGGGGAUGGACUCGCGGCUUAUCAGCUUGUUGGUGGGGUAGUGGCUUACCAAGGCUUUGACGGGUAGCCGGCCUGAGAGGGUGACCGGCCACAUUGGGACUGAGAUACGGCCCAGACUCCUACGGGAGGCAGCAGUGGGGAAUAUUGCACAAUGGGCGGAAGCCUGAUGCAGCAACGCCGCGUGCGGGAUGACGGCCUUCGGGUUGUAAACCGCUUUCGCCUGUGACGAAGCGUGAGUGACGGUAAUGGGUAAAGAAGCACCGGCUAACUACGUG
rnacentral:rRNA from 1 species